rnacentral:lncRNA from 1 species
UUCUCAUUUUUGUUUUUUAAUUUUCAGAUUCGUGUGCCCUUCGGAAUACCUGGACCGGAGGCGGACAAGAGGCUGGCCGAUAUGUUUUACAAGUUUUGAUGGCACCGAACGGUAAUUUUAUAUCUUGAACCAACGGCGUUAAUGUUCCUUCGAUCUCAUGAAUUAGGUCUUUCUAUUGAUGAUGAUUUCGAUCAUUUCUUUUUCCCAUAAUUAUAAGUUUAAAUCUAGUGGAUGCUCAUAAUUGUUUGGUAUUUGCACAAUAUUGUUGGGAAAUUUUUUAUUGGAACUCAAUUUUGGUGUAUGUUAUCCUGCUUUGAAAUUAUCGAUGUUGAUCAAGAAGUUUAGAUUUUUUAUUAAUUCUCAUAGAUCUUUAUAUUCUUACGUAAUUUGUUUUGCCUUCAGGUUUGUUCACCGUUCUGGGAUUUGAUGUGAAGGCUAAGCUCAUUGUUCAUCUUUAAGGUGCAAAGCCUGGAUGUGUGAUAAAUAAUUUUGAGCCGCUAAUUUGGCAUGGCUAAUUGAUCAUGCGGGUAGGCUUGUGCCGCAUAAUUGGGAGUGAAUUGCGGGAUUGUGGAGGGUUUUAUAAUGGAUGUAAGAGAUGCAUCAGGACAGAGAAGCCUGAAAUUAAGAUGGCUGAGACCUGAUUAUUCUUUGUCAUCCGGCCUUUGCCAUGGCAGGUGCGCUUGCAUGGCAGGUCACCAAAAUCUUAAUAAAAAAUAUUUAUUUUGUGGUCCUGAGGGGAGAUCGCACGGGAGUUGCCCGGGUUCUCCUCUCCUGAGUGUUGUUCUUGUGUGUGUGGGUGUCAUUCUCCGUUUCUGUUGCCUUUUGCUAGAGUUGACACUAUCAAUCCAUUGGAUUUGCAUUCUAAAUCAGCCUCAGCUCAAAAUCACCAUGCUUAUAAACCAAUCCACUUGCAGUUCGCGAAAGGUUUGGUAUCAUGCCCUGCUGACUUUUAAGACAGAACAUAUUUGCAAAAUACUGUGCUUUAAUUAAUAUACAAGACCUAUCCAUGCAGUCAGUUCAAUUUUAACAUUCCAACGUUGAUUUAUCCUAUUUGAACUAUCAUUUUUUUGGCUUUAAAAUUUGCCUCUAGAGAUAAGCAAGUAUUCUAUUGUUGGCUUUAAAAUUUGCCUUUAGAGAUAGGUUUCCUUUUUAUGUUUAUUUUUUGCCUUACCCUAAUUUGGUAACUUGCCAGUAGCAAUGAUGAAUUACUGAGAUAAUGGUUCAUUUAGGAAGGUAAGAUAGUUCAUCCCUGUCCAACCAUCAGGAAUAAAGAGAAGACUGAUUGUGAGCAGGCACGGGGGUAUGUGGAGUUAGUACGAUUGACGGGAACUUGGUUCUUUGCAUUUGCCGUCAAGUAAAUUACAGUUUGUUCCCUUUGCUAGGUUCAUUGGAGUACAAAUGUUCUAUAUCAAGCUGAGGAACUAUUGCCGCUGCUUAUUGUCCAAAUCUGUCUCUUAUGAACAAAUUCCAAAAUGAAUGAAUUGCAGAUCAUAUUUCUGAAAUUAUUAUCAAAGUAUUCCAAAAUGGAUUGUGCGAAGUGUGCGGCCACCAUUAAUGUUUGAAGUGCUUGGUUUAGUUUAGUGGUUGAAGGGCAUCUUGCUCUCAGGGAAUUACCUCUGAUAUUGGAUCAUGAAUAUCUUGUGAUGUAAGAGGCUUGAAUAAGCAAUGGUGUGCCUUCAUGCCUUAUUUAGCAUAGGCGACUGAAAUGGGCUAAGCAAUAACAUUUGAGCCAGAUUUAUAAUCUCAUUGUAUUUGCUGUGGGAGAGCUUUGAAUGUUCUAUCGGUCGGAUGAUUUCAUGCGGAGCCACUCGUAUGUCACUCUUCAAUUGUCGGGAAUUUGGAGAGGUGAUUCUCAGCACUCUCUUUCAGCAAUUAUUUUAUUAUAUUAAUUCAGUAUGAUUUGAGUUGAGAAUUAAUUUUUUGCAUUGGGUACACACAAUCUAUGAAUGCAAUAGGCACAAGCAUAUCUGAUGAUGAUGGAAGAUGUGUUAUGUUAGUGGGAUGUCCUGGAUUUAAUGUUUGAAAGGUAGGUGGGCUGCUGCAUACAGUAUGCAGGCCUUUAGGUUGAUGCUUGGGUCUUUUAGGUCAUCUUAGAGUAGAACCUUGAUGCAAAACAGCUGCUGUUCUUUGUCCAAUGGUAGAUUAGUUUUGGUUUGGUUUGGAAAUGCUUCUAAUAAUUUGCUUUGAGGUUGCUAAUGUAUUAUUAGAAAGGCGUCAUAAUGUGCUUUUAAUUGUAUAAUAGGUGCUUGGUUUUAUAAUUAUAAUGCACUUCUCAAUACUUGAAUAAAUAGUUUAAUAUUAAUUUAUUUUAGUAUUCAUCUUUUGUAAUUAUUUAUUAUUCCAAAAUUUUAAAAGCUUUACAUCUCUGAUUGUAAAUUGUUAAUUUAAAUGUCUUUUUAUUUUUUUAAAAAUCUUUGUAAAAUUAUUUUAGAGAGAUUAGAAACCUUUUUUUCUUUUAAAUUUGCAAGGAUCACUUGAGAAUAAGCAUUCUAAUACCCUUUGAGCGCCCCCCCCCCCCCCCCCCAAAAAAAAAGUCAAAAAACACUAAGUCUGUUCUAAUAGCAAGAGCCAUUGCGCUUACGAUUCUUCAUGAAGCAUUUUGAAACACGCUGUAAUUUGGACUUCCGAGCUCUAGGUUCAUGGAGAACCUGAGAUGAGAGGACUUGUAAUUUGUAUCCGAGUGGGGUAGCUUAGCUCUUGUAAUAUUCUUCUCACUGUUGACAAUUGGUAGGUCGAAAGGUGGACAAGUGGUGAUUGUUAUCCUUUCUAUGAUUUUGUACUUUUUGUAUCCAUGUGAAAAUAUAUAGUAUUGUACAAAUUUUUGUGAUUUUGGUGUACGCAUGGUUCGGGCUGCUGUACAAGUGAAGAAAUGCAUGGUUGUUUUCUUAGGCCAUUUUUUUUAUUUUUUUUGCUGUUGCUCUCUUAUGCCAUGAUGGAGGUGCUGACGUUAAUGAAGUUUUCCAAAUUUUCAUUUAGUAUUCCUGCUGCCUUUUCAAUCUUAUGGUUAAUUCCUGAUGCCUUUUUGAUCCUAUGGUUGUUUUCUAUUUUCUUAUAUUUUUAAAUUUGAAAGAGGAUUUGAUAACUGUUAAUGAGCAUUUGAUGACUCUAAUGACAAUGAGAAUGGUUGUUUUCUAUUUUCUUUUAGAUAGAAUUGAAAAAAUUGUAAAUGAGCAUUUGAUAACUGGUGAUUUUAUGGUGGGCCCUAUUGAAAAUGGUUGUUUUCUAUUUUCCUUUAGAUGGAAUUGAACAAAUUGUGUACGUUUAAUUUUCAUUGAACUCCCAGCGCAUUUUGUGUUAUUUCACAUUCCGUUUUCAUUUUGUGUUCAUGGAAAAUGAAAAUCUUGUUUGGCAGCCUCAAAUGACUCUUGAUAUUUUUAAAGGAACUUCUUUCAAAUUAGACCACAAAUUCAUUUUACUUUAUUAUUAGGUUAUAAAUUGUGUUUGUAAAUGCACAAAAAAUAAUUCAAGAGCGUAAUGUAAGGAGUAAUAAGCCAAUGCACCGUCUCCAUCUCCUCGCUUAAUGGGAACACAAAAUAUGAUGUGUUCUUUCCUUCCCCAUGUGUUAGUUUGGGUCUUCAGACCGGUUUUAUCGUCUUUUGUGAAUCAUUUGGGGAGCAACUUUCGGAUUCAUAAAAGAAUUAGGAGGGAUAAGUUUACUUAGUAAUAUGUUUUUUAAACUUUUAUGUAGGAGUGGAUAUUUUGGAAAGACGUCUUACAACGAUACAAUGGAAAGAUACUGAGGUAAUUGAAGUUAUUAUUUAAAUUGUGGUUUUGUUUAGUAUUGUUGGGCAGUCAUAUCUUAAAAAUUAAAGUAUUUAUCAUGUAUUAGUUGUUUGAAAAGUUGAUUUGAUAUACUAUUAGUAUGAUGAAAAUUUUGUAAUAUAUUUGUUAUUUUUGUCAAAUUAUUGUUUAAAAGGCAUAUUUAUUGUAUAUUAUUAAUUUUUACUUUUUGUUAUAAUUUUUUUAGGUUUAUAUUAUUAACUCGAUUUUUUUGUUGUAAUUUUUUUUUUUUUUAAGUUGCAUCAUAAUAACAACUGAACAGAGAUUUUAAAAUUGUAAGCUUAUUUUGGAGUUGCAGUUUACUAGUAUGAGUUAGGGCCAAUGGGAUAUGAGAAAGAUAUGUUAGCUCAAAGUGGUCAGAGGUAUAGGGGUGGGCGUGGGUUGUGUUGGAUAGGGUUUGUGAAAAUUUUACUCAACUUAUUGUUGAAUAAGUUGAGAUAAAAUUAAUCUAAUUUGAUUAAUAAAACAUUUUUUUUUUUAAGGAAUAAAACAUGUUUAAACUAAUUCAACUCUACUCUUAAAUCAUCAGGUUGGGUUGAUUGAGUUAAAAGUGAAAUUAAAAUUAAAAAUUAUAUAAAAAAGAAUGAAAUUUGAAGUGAAAUUAUUGAAAUUAAAUAAAAAUUUAUUGCAACAUGAAUUUUAUUUAAUGUCUAGUUUUUUGAAAAAGACAGAUGGAAAAUUGACCUUUCAAAAUAAAGAGAAGCUCGAUAAUGUGUUUUGGACUUAAUUCCUGGCUUCAUGUAUUUGUACCUGGAAUUCCAAAUUCAGGAUUGAUAUGGUCUAGUUGCAAAAUGGAAGUGAUACGUGAUAUUAUUUAUUGUUGUGUUUUACCUUGAAAAAAAAAAAGAGAGAGGAGAUAAAUUGAAACUAAUUCAUUUGCAAGAUUAAACUUAUAAAAUAAUAAAUUUGUUUAUAUGAAAGUGGCUUUAGUUUUAGAAUUAGAGUUUAGAGGAGCAUAUAACAAUAAAAAGAGUUAAAAAUUUUGUUUAGUCACUUAGGAUUUUACAAUUGAGUAUUAAAUUAUUUCAUUAUUAUUUUGACCCAAUCUAAUUAUUAAUUGGAUUCGAAAAAAAUUAUGUCAAUUCAUCCGUGAUAAUUCAUUGAACCCAUGAAAAUUUGGUGGGGUUGGAUGGAUUCGUUGGGUUGGAUUUGCCCACUCUUACUUAGAGCAUUCAAUCUUGUGCUGAUUUUAAGUUAAUAGUGCAUUUACUAAUUGGUGAUAGGAAUGGGAUAAAUUAGAAUUAAAAUGGACUGGAGUCAAAAUAAGGAACUGAAAUUAAAAUAAAUUGUGUACUAUUGGAAUUAGAAUGAGCAACCAGAAUGGAUGAUUGCAAGUUAAUUAUUGUUAUUAUUUAUUAUAAUAAUUUGUAAUUAUGAUUAUUAUUUUGAUAAUAAUUGUUGUUAAUAAUGAUAACAAUAACAAUGACACUUAAUAAAAAUAAUAAUAGUACCUAUUAUUAAUAUAAUAAGAAUAACAUUAAUAAAUAAUGAUGAUGAUGAUGAUUUUAUUAUUAUUAUCAUUAUUCUCCAUGAGUAAUGAAAGAUUUACUUGUAAAUGUUACAAAAUUUCUGAAGGGAUUAAAAUGUGAAAGUGAUAAAAACUCAAUUGUGUGUGAUUUGAAGAUUAUAAAAAUUUAGUUUGGGUAAAAUGAGGAGUUGAAUAAAUGAGAAUUUGAUUUUCAUCCUCAUCAAGUCCUCAUUUUUUGACCCUAAAAGCUUGUGUGCUCUACAUGUUUUAUUCAUUUUUUCGUGUACUAACAAGUAACCAUCAUUUCUUUUUGGGAUUUAUAUUCCAUAAACGUACAAGUAAACACACUAUUAUUGCUUUCACAUACUGACUUGUGGUCCGGUUUUCACUAGUUUUAAGAUCUUGAUUUAGAAGAUUUCAUGUUGCAUGUAUUAUUUGGUCUUUAAGGGUGAUACAAAGAGCCCCAGGGAUCUCAGCAUCUUUUAUUGAUGGAAUUGUUGAUAAUAACCUGAAGUGUGAGAAUAGAACUAUUGUAAUAGAUACAAAAUAUAUUAUUUUGAUUUGUGAAUGUGCUGAAAUUUGUAUCCAAAGAAAGCUAAUGUUGAUUGUGUGGUAUUUCUAUCCAAUUUGUUUCUCAGUGGCGUUGGUGUGAAGUUGGCGUGGUCCAUGACCAUGAGCUUUAUUAAAGUAAGUCUAGUCGAUAUCGAGAGCAAGCUGAAGGGGCAAGUUUUGGCUUUUACUUAAAUUCUUUCGCAAUAUGUUAUAGAAAAAAAUGUAAAUAGUCUUCUGUUGUGAUGGGCAUAAUUUAAUUAUAUAUUUCUCAUUUAUCGUUUAUCUGUUAGUUUAUUUUAUUUAUAUUUUUAGUUAACUAAUCUAUUUUUAUUAAACUAGGUUAAAAAUUGAAUAUUAAGAAAUAAAUUGUGCUUAAAGGAUUCAAAUUGGAGAAAAAUUGAAGAUUAUUUGGAUUUAUUAUUGGCGGGCUUGUGGCUAACAAAGUUUGUUGGUCCAAUUUACAAGAAGAGCACGUGGCAGGCAAGCCAAUUGGAAUCCACUAGUUUCCUUAUUGAUCACGGAUUUCGGGAUUUGAAAGAAGAGCACGUGGAGGGCAAGCCAAUUGGAAGGCAUUAGUUUCCUUAUUGAUCAUGGAUUUGGAAGAGGCCAAAGGGCUAUCAAAUAGGUCGCCCAGGUAAUAUAUAUCAGCCACGCUCUUGGCUUUCGAUGAGGGGGCUGCCGACGGCAAUCGGAGAAGCAGCCACGGUUUGAGAACAAGAGAAUCCAGCCGUUUGGAUUAAUUUUAAUGACUGAUUUUAUCUAUUCUUUUAUUUUCAAUUUAAUUAUGUGCGGCAAAAUUUGUUAUGCUAUCAUCAAAGAUGACACCCUGUUUAAUGAAAGAAAUUACUUUUAAUUUAAUUAAUUCCUUAUAUGUGUGCUUUGAUGUUGUUAAUUGUUCUUAUUUCACAUAUUUAAUUGAAUAUGAUUAAAUUUUUUC